AUGAGCCGUUCCUCGGUGCUUGGUGCUCGCCCACUUGGAGGUGGUGGCUGUCGCUCUACUUCGACACCUAUUGCGACAUCCAUCGGUGCUGCUAGUCGCUCUACAUCGACUCCUAUUGCGGCUUGUGCGCACGGCGGUGACCGCUCUAUGUCGACUCCCCAUGUGGCUUCCACAUGUGGCUCUAUGUCGACUCUACCUUCGGCUUCCACGGGUGGUGGCGACUGUUCAUCGUCGGCAGAUGCUUCUACCUCAACCUCUUCUGUCCUGUCCCUGUGUGCAUGUGAGAUUGCACAGCUGCGAUGCGUGCUUGAUGCUUGGGAUUCUUCACCGACAGUUUCUGCAAGUUCCGUGACUGACUCUUCCGGCAUUGAGAAACCACUUCCUACUCGUUCAGUCUCCUGUUCGUGUUCUUACGGCUGA
rnacentral:rRNA from 1 species